AUCAAAAUCCAUUUUCCACCAAUUCCUUCAUCAUAACACUCGAAAACAAAAUCAAAUAGGGGAAGAAAGCUUCGAGAAAAUGAAUCCCAUAGUUUGUGGAGUAGAGAAAAUAAAAGGGUUCAUUAACGACUUCAUUAAAGGCCGUGAUUACUCAUCUCGCCGCAAUCCGAUUGAAAUCUUGAAGAGGUUACAGCGAGAAUCAUUUUCAGACCUGAUGAAGCUCCGAGAACGACAAGACAGAGUCGAACGUUUGCUUUCGUUUUACAAAGCAUCAAAGGGGAAUCAAUUCCAAGGAUCAAAUACCCUUUUGAGAGGGGAAGUUGAUUUCUGGCAGCCGUGUUGUUAAUGUCCAAUGUUGACGACGAACAUUGGGGCGUGUCGGUUGGGGAAUCAGAACUCGGGUCGAUUCCAAGUUUCGUUCGAAACGACAGUGGGGAUAAGAUACCUUCGGGAUUGAAUUCAUGGCUAAUCAGAAGAGGAUUGAAGAUAACAAUGGCGAUGUAUAUGGAACCCAGUUAACGUUGUCCAAGUGUUUUAUAAAGGAAAUAUUGGUGAUUGGUUUUCUGCUAUGGUGAUUCCAUUUGGAGCUCAUUUAGAGAUUUGGAUGCUGCCUCGGAAUUUUCCCUUCAGGAUGAAAAGGGACUCACUGAUUUAUCAUUUGGGCCACCUAUGUUGCACCAGCAUAGUGGAAGUGCAAUCGGGUUUGCAGUCCGAAGGUUGAAUAUCAUUGCUUCGUUCGCUCAAUCAGUCUGUGGAAUGGGAAAUGAGCAUUGCUUCAGUACUUUGGACAAGUUGUUUGUCAACUUCCGAUAAGAUUGAACCUCUCACUUUUAGGUCUUCACCGAGGCCUAAAUUGCCGAGUCGGAAUCUCCGCCCCGAGCCGGUGUGGUUCCGCUUGGAUUGUCUAGACAUAUUGAAGACUCUGGUACAGUAAUUGAGGCACCUCUUCCACCUUUGACAACAAACACCCCUGAUGAUCUAUUGCCCUGAAGCUGGAGUCAGAACUUGACGAAUACCAAAGACUUGGGGUUGGAUCGAGAUGAAACAAGCAAAUCCUGGAGCUUUACAAUGGGCUUUUAGUUUGACCGAUUUUUCUGAAGAUGUAUUUGGUUGGGGUGUGAGUGUUGGGGGAUUGUUGAAGGUCCCAGAAGUUGGGAUCACUAUCAGAUUGAAUCCUAUGUGAAAUUUAACCUGGUAAGAGAUUUAGCUUGAGGCCAGGUGUUACUUAUGUAGAGAUGGAAAUUCCAGAACCCUGGCCCUUGCGUUACGAUCUAACUGUUUCUUCUAAUUACCACUUUCUCUGAAAGGUAGGAGUUUCUGAAUUUUGUGGGAAGUCCUUUGUUUUGGGAAAGUUCAAUUUUUGUUAGGUGUAUAGAUUCAUUCUUUGAUGAAAUUCUUCAUAAUUUUUUUUUGUAAAUUUGUUGGAGCUGUUGCCUUUUCUAGUCUUAGAGAAGAAUGUGCUUUUCUUGAUAUACUCCAUUUUAAAAUUCAGGAUGUCUAUUUAAUCUCACAUGCGAAAGGAUAAUCUUGUGACUUUUUCAGGUAUUAUGUAUUACAAUAACGAGACAUCUAAGAAUUUGAGAAUUGCCAUUGUGUGACCAUUCAAACAUUUAUGAUCUUGCUCCUUAUUGUUAUCAAUAUGUUCAAGUUCGUAGAAACAAACAUAUCGUUUUUUUUUCAUUUGAUCAGCCAUUUUUUUUAUUUCUUAUCUGUUGCCUGGGUUUUCCAUUUCCUUCCAUACAUGGAACUGGUUGAUGUAAUUUCACUAGGUUCAGUCAUAGUCAUUUUUUCUGGA